rnacentral:tRNA from 1 species
UCCCUGGUGGCUCAGAGGGUAAAGCGUCUGCCUACAAUGCAGGAGACCCAGGAUCAAUCCCUAGGUCGGGAA